GACGAAGGGGGCUAGCGUUGUUCGGAAUUACUGGGCGUAAAGCGCGUGUAGGCGGUUGUCCAAGUUGGAUGUGAAAGCCUUGAGCUCAACUCAAGAAAUGCAUUCAGGACUGGAUGACUAGAGGACCGGAGAGGAUAGUGGAAUUCCAGGUGUAGCGGUGAAAUGCGUAGAUAUCUGGAGGAACACCGGUGGCGAAGGCGGCAUCCUGGACCGACACUGACACUGAGGAGCGAAAGCCAGGGGAGCAAACGGG
rnacentral:rRNA from 1 species